UUGUAAUAGGCCAAUUUUGGCCUGAUUAAAAAAUCAAAUAAAAACUAAAUAAUGACAAAAAUGUCCAGUCCAUUUACACAGCCCAAAUAAAAAUUAAAUACAUUUGGCCUAAUAAGGCCCAAAUUUGCAAACCCUAGCCUGCUAGCCCAAAAACACCAAAGAAGCAGAAAACCUAAGAGGCUGAUAGCAAAUUGGUGCCGCAGCAGUUGCCCACGUCGCAACAACCACCCACGUUCAGCAAAUCCCCGCACCCACCAUGCACGUUCUUCACCUGCAACAAACCACAAACAGUGGAAGGGACCGAAUAUACAGGGAGCAAAUUGUAAACGGAUGAAGGGAGAUAUAAAAAAAACUGAAUCUGAAAAGAGGGGGAUAUUAAAGAAAAAAUCGAAUUUGUAAGGUAUGGGGGAGAGCAAAAAUAUUGUAUAUAGAAAUAUUUGAAAGAAGAAAAAGAAUAGAAAUUAAUUUUGAAGGUAAUCGGUGGGUUCCGUUUUUUUCCUUUUUUUACUGUCUUGUUUUCUUUAUUUUCUUUCUUGUUCUUUAAAACAAAAACAAAACAAAGAAGAAGGAGAGGGGUUCUUACCGGAGGUAGCGCGCCGUCGUCGUCGUUGUGGCCGAUCGAAAAUGGGUCUGAAAUGGUGGAAGGGAGGCUGCGGCAAACACAAAAAUGACAGAAAAGGGGAAUGGUUUUAGGGUUUUAAAAUAGGAUUUUAUAAGGGUUUAAAAGGGGCCAUUUGCGCGAUUGGUCCUUUUCU
rnacentral:lncRNA from 1 species